rfam:Cronobacter sp. DJ34 Bact_A5_14, whole genome shotgun sequence.
AUUUCUCUGAGAUGUUCGCAAGUGGGCCAGUCCCCUGAGCCGAUAUUUCAAAAAAACAGAAUGUGACGCUCCACGGUUGGUGAGCAUGCUCGGUUCGUCCGAGAAGCCUGAAAACCGUGACGACGCAUUCACCUUGAACCGCGGGUUCAAGGGUUACAGCCUACGGCGGCAUCUCGGAGAUUCC